GUGGGCCUACGGGAGGCAGCAGUAGGGAAUUUUCGUCAAUGGGCGCAAGCCUGAACGAGCAAUGCCGCGUGAAUGAGGAAGGUCUUCGGAUCGUAAAGUUCUGUUGAAGGGGAAAAAGAGCGGAGAGAGGAAAUGGUCUCCGAUUGAUAUUACCCUUCGAGGAAGUCACGGCUAACUACGUGCCAGCAGCCGCGGUAAUACGUAGGGGGCAAGCGUUAUCCGGAUUUACUGGGUGUAAAGGGAGCGUAGACGGCAGCGCAAGUCUGGAGUGAAAUCCCAUGGCUUAACCAUGGAACUGCUUUGGA
rnacentral:rRNA from 1 species